rnacentral:rRNA from 1 species
AUGAUGAAAGUAAAUGUUGACGCUGCUACUAGGCGGAGAUCAAGCUGCGGUGUGGUUGAUGCAGUAUGUAAGAACAGGGAGGGAGUAUAUCUGGGAGCGUCAACAAUUGUGUUCAAAGGUAUUUCUGACCUAGCAACUCUAGAAGCGUUGGCAGUCCGGGAAUCAAUGGCACUAGCUCAGGACCUCCAUCUGCAGGCGAUUCAUGUUGCAACUGAUUGCAAGGGCAUUGUAGAGGAUAUCAGUCAAAAGAACAGUCAUAGCUAUGGUGCUAUUAUACAUGAGAUCAUAGAUUACUCUCGUAGUUUUCAGUCAUGCAAUUUUGUGCAUGAAUUUAGGAGCUCGAAUUUUGAGGCUCAUAAUCUAGCGAAGCAUGCUUUGAAACUAGGGGUCGGCCGCCAUGUCUGGUUAGGCAACCCUGGUGAACUUCAGUUCGUCCCUGUAAAUGCUGUGACGAUUUAA